AAUAUAGUUGAGUUUGGUGAUGGCUCUGAUUGAACACUGUCCAAGUGCUUGACACAUGCUAAUCGAACGUUUUAAUUAAGAGUGGUUUAGCUUAUCAUGUAAGUAAUAGGCUUCGCCUCUUCAUAAUUAAAAAGUGGUGUACAGGUGAGUAUAAUAAUAUUUAUGCCGGCCUUAGAGUGAAGAUAAAUUCUUCAUAUAAUAAAGGGAUUAAGUAUUCCCGCUUUAAGAGGAUGAUAAAUAUUUUCGGGAUAGGUAGUAGUGAAGGUUAUGUCUUCACUAGCCUUAACUCUCGUAGUCGAAGCUGAAAGGUUGAUCGACCACAUUGGGUCUGAAAAAAGCCCAAUGCAAGUUAGUACAGCAGUGAGGAAUAUUGGUCAAUGGCCUAACGGCUGAACUGGCAACUUGGAGAAGUGUUAAGUCUUUAUUUUUGUAUUGUAAUAGGCUACGUUUUAAUAAACUAUAUGUAAAUAUAGUGCUUAGGCGGAGCUUACUAACACACAAAUUAAAGAUUAAAUUAGUAUUGAAUGAAACUUUGUUUAUAUAUCGAUAAUGACGAUAUAUAUAUUAUGUCUUGACCAAUUACGUGCCAGCAGUCGCGGUAAUACGUAAGAGACUAGUGUUAUUCAUCUUAAUUAGGUUUAAAGGGUACUCAAACGGUCUGUUUUGCACAAAAGACUAGAGUUAUAUAGAAGAAGGUAGUACCUUAAGUGUAGAGAUAAAAUUUUGUUAUACUGGAGGGACUUAGAAAAGGCGUAGGCAACCUUCUAAGUAAUAACUGACGUUGAAGGACGAAGGCAUAGGUCACGAACAGGACUAGUAACCCAAGUAGUCUUUGCAGUCAAUGAUGAAUGCCAUAGGUUAGAUAAAAAUUUAGUCUAUAAAUGAAAAUGUAAGCAUUUCACCUCAAGAGUAAUGUGGCAACGCAGGAACUGAAAUCACUAGACCGUUUCUGACACCAGUAGUGAAGUAUGUUGUUUAAUUCGAUGAUCCACGAAAAACCUUACCACAAUUUGUAUAUUUUACAGGAGUUGCACGGCUGUCUUCAGUUGAUGUUGUGAAACUGUGGUUUCCAUGAAUUAACGCAAUCCCUUGCUUUAUUUUUGUUCGUACAAACUAAGGCUUAGUUAAAGCUAUAUUUAGUUACUAUAAAGCAUUUGACCCUAUAAUUUGGGAAGAAAAAAGGGAGUAAGACAAGUCAUCAUGGCCUUAAUAUUGUGGGCUAUAGACGUGCCACAUAAGCCUAUACAAAGAGAUGCGAAAAUGUGAAUUCUAGCAAAUCUCCAAAAUAGGAAAUAAAAAGGAUUGUAGUCUGAAAUUCGACUAUAUGAAUAAGUAAUUACUAGUAAUCGUGAAUCACCAUGUCACGGUGAAUAUUUAUCGGAUUGGUACUAACCACUCGUCGCAUGCUGAAAGGAGUUUAUACAAUAAGUUUGCUCUUUUAUAGUAAAAAAAUAAAAUAAUUAGAUUUUGUAUAUAUUAUUAUAAAAUUCUUCGCAUGUAUAGCUCUAAUUAGUGUUAAGUCGAAAUACGGUUCGCGUAGUGGAAGUUGCGCGGGAAUAAUUGAUCCUG
rnacentral:rRNA from 1 species